CAGCGGCAAGAGGAACCGAAGAGGCUUGUUUGAGUUAAGGUCAAUCCUGUUUAGAUUGCCUUGGUCGUUGUCCGUUUUUUUUUCCCCGGCAUUUUGUUUGUUGAGCUUUUCUGCGAGGCAAAUCAUGUAUUCAUGUAUUCUAAGACCUGAUGUAAUGAAUGUGACUGUUUGCUUGUGCUGUGCGGCUGGUUUUUAUGGUGAGGCAUGGCUAUGUGUGUCGAAGUGAGUAUUUGGAUUGGGAAGGUACAAAGGAUACAGCACAGUGGGCACACUCAUACAGAUAGAUGUUCUGGCUGAGCAUUGUGGCGAAAGUUAAACAAUACAUCGUAUAUUCAGAGGGACGCACGUGAAUAGGAUUGGCUCUGUCAGACACAAGUAUUAGUCUUCAGAGUUUCUACUUUUUGAGUUGUGUUUAAUCAUCUGAGCUGCAGUCAGGGUCAAACUGGGGGUUCUGAGACAUGCUUAAGAAACUGGAAAGUGACAGCUGUUCAAGAGUAAGUCGACCUUACAUUAACCUUACCGAGGCUGAUUAAUGUUUAAAGAAGUAUCCUCAGACAGGCGCGGCUUUUGGUAACGGGACAAAAGGUCAACAAGCCAAGAAAAAAGCGGCUGAUGCAAAGAAAAAAAAUCCUGCAUGCUCAGGAGUGUUGCCAGAUGGGAAAUAUAGAAUUAUCGUACAAGAGACUCAAAAUUAUCGUAUUUUUGGGAAAAUUAUCGUACACCCGUCAUAAUCAAAAUAACAAUCUUACUGUUGCAUGAUAGUCACUCUGUUUAGGGUCCUACAGGCACUCACGAUUUUGUGGCUAAUCCCGACUGAGCAGGAUUAACAGCCUAUCAGGCUCGUUGUUCGGAGGCUGUCGUCACUCAAACUACGAUUGGAUGGAAACAUCACGUGAUAAAAGAUGACUUCAGGGUUCGCAAAUAAGAAACUGAAAAAUAAAGUGUCUGGCAGACUUAGACAAUCCCAUUGCACCACACGUUCACAAAGCUGUCAAGUUAUCGCAAACUUAGCCUUUUCAAUUUUCAUACACCUGGCAACCCUGACGCUUAGUAUUUGACACUCAAAUACUAAUCUUUUUGGAUCAAUCAGGCUGCCUAUCAUGUGUCUAUAAAAUAGGGUGACCAUAUGUCCUCUUUUACUCGGACAUGUCUUCUUUCUGGGGGGCUGUCGGGCCUUGUCUGGGAAAAAUCCUUCAAAUGUCCAGGGUUUUGUAUGGAAGCUUUGAGUUUGUGUUGCGUAGACUUACUGAGUUAGAAGCACGUAAAAAAACGCUCCACCAAACCUGAAAAACUCUUAAAAUUAACUAUGUGCGACUCUGUGACACCACCCCGCGUAGUCGUGUCCUCUUUUUGGGGAUUCAGAAUAUGGUCACCCUAUUUAAAAACCUAAUCAUAACUUAACGCUGUGACAAAAAUGUGCUUGAAAUUAAAAGCUGUUUUCAUCUUAAUUAUUUGUGAAUCAAAGUAAGAAGACUUGUCAUGUAAAAUCGCUGGAGUAUGAGAACCUUUCUAAAUCAUUUCUACACAAACUUAAGUACCUUGAGAAACGAGACAAAGGAGCUGUCCUCAUAACCUACAUUUAAAAGCCUGAACAAAAUAAUCAUUUAUAAGCUAUAUGACAGCUUCAAUUGAAGCCUUUAGUGAUACAAAUUUAGUGUCUCUCUAUUGAAUUUGGUGUCUUGGUUUGAAUUAUGCCACAUGCUAGGAUAAUAGGGAUUGUCAAAAUGGUGGACAGGUUAUAUAUGACGUCUUCAUUCAUUCAACCUUAUCAGUCGUUUCUGAAGAAGCCAUUUAGAUGAGCGCUCUGAAGACAAUACAGCAUGUCAUUGUGAUAGGUCCCAUCUUGGCUUUUUAGUGCCUCUCUGAAACAAAGACAGGAUUAACGCAUGGAUUGAAAUGGUAAAGCACAGUCAAAUACAUUUGUUUCUCUAACACUGCACAGUCUCUGCGAUCCCUGCGGCGACCUGCUCCUGGUUAUUUAUGAUGUCGAAAUUAAUCUCACUUUGCACGAUGGGCUCUCGAAGAGGGGGCCUCCUUCUGAGACGGCCGCUGAGCGAGGGAUGAGAGAGGGAUUGAGGAGAGGAGAGAGAGCGCAGAGCCACCGAGGACUUAUUCAAAUCCUCCCUCAUAGAUUAGCAAUCGCAGCUUGACAAGCCGCCCUGCAAGUUAUUUUCUAUUUAAUUUUUUUUUUUUUUUUUUUUAAAUCAAGGCGUUUUCUUACCAACAUGUCAAAGAUGGGGGUAAUCCAUUCGGAAUUUGCGAGUGAUGAGACAGGAGACAAACUCGCUGGCGUGUCACAGAGUACCGAGGAUGCAGGAAGUAAAAUAUGCAAAUGAGGUGUGCAGGCUUUAAAGCAGCUGUCUGUUUGAUUGCUGCUCUCUGGCAUUGUUUGCCUUUGAUGGAUGAAGGCUUUCAUUGCAGGGGCCCAUUAGGAGUACAAAUAUUAUGAUUUAUGAUUACACAGGAUCUUUGAUUGUCAAUUGAUGGGAGGCUCUUCGGAUGUAUGGUGUGAUAUUGCAUAGAACCGUAUAUGUAAAUGGUCUAAUGUUGAGAAGCGAACUAAAAUUAACUCCUCUUUAACUUUGAAUCAACUGAGCAAAGCUAUUCUGUCAGAUGGAUGGUUUUGAUAUAAGAAAGGAAAAGCUAAGAAUACAAAACCAUUUUCAGUCUUCUUUUACUCCUGUUUUCACACUGUUUUCUCAAUUCAGAUACAAACAUUUACGUCUUAAAUGCACCGCCAGCUCCAUCUACCAGAUCAUCCACUAGGGAUACAUCUCCAUGAGAGUGAAUUUUCUGGUUAGUCUGAGCUCUGGUAACACUAGGGCAGCACUGGAAGCAACAGACUCCUUGCUUGUGGGUGUGGGUAUAGGACUCAUGUGUUUUAUUUAAGUUAUGUCCUCUAAAGAUCUUACUCGUACUCAUGAAAAAUGCAAAAGUUUUAACAACUAAGGACAAGGACAAGCACCGAAUUAAACAGACUAUGUAUUUUCUCUCCUAACCAAGACUUAAUCGGCUAAGAUAAUCUUUGUACUCAAACAAACAGAUAGUGACAAGGACUGUCUGAGGGAAUAAACACAGCUUCUUUGUUACAGCUUCCUCACUGGGACAGUGUUUUAAUCACACAAACAAAGCGUGCAAGUGAAUACCAGUCACCACUGGCACCUCUUAGUGCAAAGCAUGAUUCUAAUAGAAUAUGGGGGGAUUAGCUGCUUAUAUUGUGCAGAGGAAAAUAAGCAACAAUAGGCUAAGUUUGCAUACUUACAAGACAUGACAGCUGUUUAACAUGAUAUAUGUUAAAUAAUAUUUCCUGAUGCACAUAAAACGAACCGCUCAAGAGUUGCUUUUGUUGAACUUUCACUUGAUUUAAAGUAAAAGUGAUGCUGUUGGAAUUCACUUAAGUAAACAUAAAAGGUUAUACGCAUCGUAAACAGAAUGACUUAAGAAAUAUAAAGGUAGUUUUUGCCUCUUUUAAAUGCAUCUUAUCUUCAUUUGACUCAAACUUCUAUACAGUGCAUUAAACUUUAGAGUGUUACGGUAAACUAUUGCAUAUAGUUAAAGCGCUAUGCAAAAUAACAACUUGGUAGCAUUUUUUCUUUUUCAGAUGUCUGUGUCGUACAAAGUAUAGAGUAAAAUGAGAUUUCAGAAAAUGUUAUUUUGAUGAUGUGUAGCUAAAGAUAGUUUGUGUAAAGAGUGAAUGCACGAAAAAACAGAAAUACCGUAUUUUUCAGACCAAAAGGCCCACCUGAUUAUAAGGCGCACUAUGAAUUAACGUGUCUAUGUUCACACACAAGGCACACCAAAUUGUAAAGCCCAUUAAGCAAAACAACACAGUCUGGUAAAUCAAACUUUAUUUAACUUAGUUGUAACAACAAAUAGCUGUACUGAAAAUAUGCUCACUUAUUGAUUCAUUCCUCUUCCACAAAUUCAACGAAUAAAAUUCUUCAUCUUUAGUGUCUGAGUUAAACAGCUGUGCGAUUUUGGCAUCAAGCAUGCACGGAUCCCUCUCAUCAUUAUCUGAGUCAGUCUCAUUGCUGUUACUGGUACGCAUUUUUUUUUUUUUUUUGUAGGAUGGUAGGGGAAGGUCCCGCCUUCCUUCGCCUCUUAUUGGCUAGAAGUGCUUGGCUCCGAUUGGUUAUUCCUUAUGGCCAUGAAACGUCACCGUCUGUCAGGUUAGGAGAUUCAAAAGUGCGAUAAUGUUCUGCAGUGUUCUGUUCAAUGUACAGAGACGACAGCCCACAUUUGGCUUGAGCGUGUGAUGAUGUUUCCAGCUUUUCUAGCCAAUCGGAGGCGAAGGAGGCGGGACUUUCCCCUACCAUCCUACAAAAAAAUAUAUAUAUCGCUACCGGUACUUGGCUGUUCAGUGACGAUUUCAGCUCAGACGACAUUUAGCGUAAUGCUCCGAAUAUCUAUUGAGAGGAGCGGCUUUGUUGCUUACCAAAAUCGUACUUCCACAUUUCAACAGAUUUUUGAGCGUAUUUUACUACAUAAAAUCAGUCAGUAAGCACAACAAGUAAUCAUACAUAAGAUGCACUAGAUUAUAAGGCGUACUGCCAAUUUUUGAGAAAAUCUAAGGAUUUAAAGUGUGCCUCAUAGUCCGAAAAAUAAAGUAGUAAGAAACCCUUUGAGUACAAAUUUCAAUGAUCCAACAGGCUCAUCUUAGCUUGGACCCUUGCAAAGUAUGCUUGCAUCAUUUGGAAGCUUUGCGACAUUUAUAAAUAUUUGACAACAGAUGAGUGGGCUCUGUGGGACGCCACUCUGAGCACCACUGACAAGUCUGCUAAUAAAGCAAAAACCAUCAGUGGCUCCCGUGUCAAAGACCGCACUCAAUAUCCAGAGGCUGAGAUUGCAGCUGAAACACGCACACCCAGGCUUGCAGACAUCGCUGCAUCGCAUAAACUCACACUUUUACACACAAAUGCCGCACAGCCAGACACCCAUAACUCAACCAAAACAUACAGACAAGAAUAUUCUUGCCAAAGCACACCAUCAACAAGUGAAGAAACAAAUGAGAGACUAAUUUAGUGAGUUUGUGAGCCAGUCAUCACAAUCAAUAAGUGCGCAAAUGAAAAAGCAAUUAGACCAACUGUGAAUGCCAUGCCUGCAAUCAUUGCUCUGCGUUUGCUGCUACACUUGAGACAAAUUGAAGCAAAUAAAGUAUCGUUCAGAUGGUCAUGCUGAGGGUUUUCACUGUAACUAUCCGCACUUACUCCGUAAAUGAUAUAAUCCAAGUGCAUUUGUGCAUGUGUGUGUGUGUCAGUCCCUUCAGCAGCUAAGAUUCCCAGGUUUGAAUGAGAAACAGGUGGUGGUGGCCAAACACACGCUCUCGGUAUACGGGGUGAAACCACGAUAACAUGAUAGCAGAAUGUUGGUAUUAAUGCUGUAAACACUGACUGAAGAGGUGGUUUAGUGUUAUGUACAUUUAUUCACUGACACAUUCAGUUGUGUUAAAAUCCAACAGGCCUUCUGUUUGCAGCGUUUGGGUGCAAAAGCAUUUCUGAUUAGUUUGAUUCUGCUUCUUUCAUCCAUGAUUACUCCUCAUUCUUUCUUCUCCUCUUUCCAUCCAUCCAUAUAUGUUGCUCUCUCUCUCUCUCUGUUGGCACGUGCAUCAUGGUUCCCCUGUUGGUUCUUGGCCAGCUCCCCCAACUCCUCUGCUCUCCCUCUUGUUCACCCUCCCCCAUCCUCCUCCUCCUCCUCCUCUUCCUCCUCUUCUUUCCUUUUUGCAUGUGUGCCAGGGUCUGGGGGGCUCGACACAGUGUACAGCCCAGUGGCCUAAAAGUGAAUACUUACGUAAUUGCCAACUGUCUCCAAUCAUUAGGGGCAGCCCUUAAAAAAGACAUGCUUCGCCGACAGCUGCGUCCCCUCGCCUUUGCCAGCCUUUCAGAUCGCAUUUGUUUUAAAGGGCUCGUCCACAUUAUAUUUAACCCCAGAGCACUGCGGAUGACGCGGAAAAAGAUAGCGGAGGCACAAUUUAUGCAGUUAUGUUCUACAACAUGACGUUGGUAUGAAAACGGGCAAUUGAUUCUUCCAGAGUUUGAUGUGCAGUGGAGUUGAAUGUGUUUAUAUCUGUUAUAACAGAUUUUGCGGCCCUGAAUCAUAAACACUGGUUUCAUCACAGCUCUGCGUAAUAAUUAGAUCAGCAUGAGAUGCUAAGUAUGUAGCUGUGGAAACAGUUCCUCAACAAUACGUCCCAUCACAUCUUUCAAACUCUCAAAUCCACAGUGAUGGGUCUAUUCGUCAUAGAUGAAAUAUAGUUGAGUACAUCUUUGCUACGAUCUAUUUACAUGUCCCCAGGUUACUGUGAUGUGUGAGCAGGUAGGACAUUAGCUAAUAUCCUCUGAGCUUUUAUUUGAUUUCUUUUCUUUUCUUUCAGCCACCAGGCCCUAAUGCGGUGCAGUUUUAACAUACAAACUUAAUGCAAGUGCAUUGAGGACACGUUUUGUUUAUACCCCAAGUCCUGCAUGAAUGUUAAAUUAAAGUAACGGAUAUAAAUUGAGAAAUUCAAGUUGAAAUGUGCUCAAAAGAACUUUCUUUGUUUAUAUAAACUACAGACAAUUCCCUGCCAGUUCCUGCUGCGAGACAAACGUACAUUUUAUUUCCGUGCUUUCACAGAGACCUCCCACAGUAUGGUUAGUGACAGCUGGGUCAGGUCCCCACAUAUCGGGGACACAGCUGCCCUGCAGACAUGUGCUCACAUACACACACACACAGAAGCGUGCGCACACACACACGCACGCACACUCUCUCUUCCAUGCACCAGGCAAACAGGAACUUGAAAGCGGAGCAUCUGAACUGCCUCAGAGCAGAAACACAUGACCACAUUUCUGUUGUCAUUACAUACGAAAAGAUAUUUCAGCAAAGAACAAAAGAGAGCUUUUCUCUUCCUCUUCAUUCCCAUGUGUUUUUGAUACGUGUUCACCACAUAUAAUGUUUCUAAUGAGAGGUUUGAAAAGAUCCUAAAAGGCAAUAAAAAUCCAAUCAGAGGAGAGAAAACGGUCUCUGCUCAUAAAGUAACAAAAUGUAAUACGAAUGUGGAAAUGUGAAAGUGAACUGCUUUAUAUUUAAAUGUGCCUAUUACUAGCUGCAGUUUUGUGUUUAUAUUUGUAUUUCAAGGUUUAAGGUAGCUUUAUUGUCAAUUUUGCAGUAUGUGUAACACAUACAGAGGAUUGAAACUGUGUCAUUUAAGGGCCCACAGUGCUAAGGUACACAUUUUGUAUUAAAAUAAAAAGUAUAAAAGUAUAAAUCAAAUGUAAAAGAAAAGAAAAAUAUAUUUGAGUUGAACACAUUUGCAUAUCGUUAAAUGCUAUGGUUGUAAAAGUAAAAUUAGAAAAGCAAUAAAUAGCAAGUGGUUAAGUCUUGGUAAAGUAUUUUAACCCGUAUCAUUUAGUGUCUUAAAAUAUGUUACUAUGUAGAGAAUAUACUUGCUUGACAUUAUAAAGAUGAAUGCUGAAAUGGAUUAAGUGAUGGUUAGAUCAGCAGCUUGUGAUAAAACAUAAGUAAUAGCAGAGUCCAGAUCCACGACUGUUAAACAGAGUAAAUCAUCUAUUUUGACAAACAGGCAGGCAUUGCUAAACAAAGAAGUCAUUUAUGUUUGUUCAUCUUUUCUGAGCUGAGAAUACACAUGUUUAAAACGCUUUCAAGAACAAUAAGGAAACCAAUAACUGAACCAGUAAAGAUGUCAAGGCAUGAGAAAUUCUGUUUCCAGAUGGUGAUGAUCUCAAUAUCAAUCAUAAUAAUCACAAUUUCAGUUUUUGCCAUGAUCCAGAAGUCCCACAUCACUACAGGAUUGUUGGUUGUGUGUGCACAGGUUGAAUCUCUGUUUUCGCUGUUUACAGUCUCUGUCAUUAUAACGUAACCAAGUUCAAACACCGAGGUGGUCCAAAAUCAGAAUACCUUGUUAUUAGCACAUAAGUUUACAAUCAAGCUUCUUUCCCCAGUAACCAGACAGUAAAAUUAAAGCUGAAAUCAUUUUUUUUAAUAUAUAACUCUUUUUGUGCUUCACAUAAUAUGAGGAGAAGCAAAGUUUAAGAAAAAUAGUCAGAGUAAAAUCCAAAAUGCCUGAUGUGUCAAACUAAAUAACCUAUGGCCUAACUUUAUCACACUUCUGAAACUUACUUUUAUCAGACGUAAAUGUUUGUUGCUCAGCUGGGGAGCUACCUUCUUUCCUGGGUAAACAGGAAGUUGACUUCUAGAAUAAGGAACUUGUACCUGAUAACCGAGUUGAUUGAGACUCAUUUAAAUAUUUUAGGAUUUUCAUUUCUGGUAACAAGACUUUUUUUUUCUUCUUACAUUAUGUUAACUCCCCAUCUAACAGAUUUAUUUCCCUUUUUAUCUUUUUUAUUCUGAGAGGGUUUUUUUUUUAGCUGUCUUUUAGCAGGAAUAACACUAUGAUAUCUGAAACCAUACUUUUUCUAUAAGGGUGUAUUUAACCGGGGUUCCUCUGUAAUUAUAAAAGAACAGCACCCGACUCCCUCCUGCAGUGCAUCACUUCUCCGGAAAGCUUUGUCAUUUGUUUUCACCGUCAUUCCACUCGGGUCAAGAUAACAUCGCAAACCAGUUUCGCUGACAUCACAGGGAUGUGGUGGCACUUGUGGGUGCUGCAUCUUCACAUUAGCGGUGAAUAGAGAAAUACUUACUGUAAAUGGUCUGACACAGUCAAAGUCAAACCACAGAAACGAGGAAAAGAUGAAUAUACCGAAAUAACAACUGUGAAUGCCUUUGUAUUAAAUUCAAAGUUUCAUAUUCAAAUUAUAUCCAGUAAAACAUUUUUGGUAAUGAGUUAUAUAUCAUAAGUUUCAGAUAAGUCAGUAUCACAAAGUCUGUAUUAUGAUUAAAGGUUUGAUAUGAGAGAUGCUAGAGGAUACAUUAAACUGUUUAUCUAUUCCAGUUUAAAUUACACAGUGUUCAAGUUUUACUUUUUUUUUCAAUUUGGCUUUGGAAAGUAAAAAACAAAGUUACAUGCAUUAUUUUACAGCAUUAAAAAACAUAUUAAGUAAAUGGCAAAUGGCCUGAGAACUCAGAGGAUAAAUGUUUAUCUUGGUUAUCACUUAUCUCACUUCUUUUUCCAUGUUUUAGGUAACAGGUAUGAAAUAAGUUCUUGCUGAUAAUAAUCACCAGGACUAAAUGAUUUUUUUUUCCAGAAAAAAAGUGAUGUGUGAGUUUGUGUUUCGGUCUGACGGCUUGUCUAAAUGCUUCCCGAACAGAAGCUCAGAGAGCCAUGAAUCAACCAUGAAGGAUAAUCAAAUCAAUGUAAAUGUGGUUUGUGUUUUUUUGUGAUGCUGGUGCUCGAUACCCUGAGGGGCCCUGUCAGUUGUAAGAGGAGGGGCUGUACAUAAUGAGGGGUCACGCUUGAGGGGCCCUUUGUAAACAUGCUGAGUGGGAGCCCUUUCUUUGUGGACAAGAUUGUGGAAUUAGUCCAAGACAAAGGGAGGUGUGAGCACUGGGGCACCCCAGACCCCUUACACACACACAUAUACAUGCAUGAACCAGCUCUUAUUAUCUUUGUCCUCCUCAUUCUCCAUCCUUAUACAAACCCUAUUCAUUUUUGAGACUGUGUAUGUGUGUGAAGCUUUUUUGCAAAGGACCCCUGGGGGGCAAGUGGGAGCUCCCAUUUGGCCUUUGUGAUUAAUACUGCAUUUUGAUGUUUAUUUGCUACAGUUCAUCAUUACUUGGAAAGGCUUUGAGACAGUCACAAUUUGUUUUUAUUAUAAAGCUAUAUAUUUUGUUCUAAAACUGCAGCUUUUCUGAAGUAAAAAGGAGAAGUAGGGUAAAAAAGAGAGUGCAGAGCAAAAGCACCAACAUGUAGGUUGUGCUUUAUGAUAACAAAGGAUUGAUGAAUCUCAUUCAUUUAAACAGACAUGAUUUUACCCGUAGGAAAAAUUAGAAUAUUCAGUGGUUUCAAAAUUUACUGACUUAAUUUAUAGUGUAUUCAUAAAUUAUUAAGAAACUCAGCAGAACCUUGAGGGGAAACUAUUUUUUACAAAACCGCAAAUACACAGUGAAGCUAAGACUUACGUUUCUCCUGAAGUUCACCAUCAGAGAUUUUAUGGCUUUAAAGAGUCUCAUCUGAGGGCUCUUGUUGCAGAAUUUGGGUUGUUGUAAGUUGGGUAGAGUGUAUCACCCCCUCCUGAGCAGAGGAAACCAGUCAAAAUGCAACAAAAAGUUUGCACCUCCCACCUGUCUCUUAUCGUCAUAUUGGGACAGUAGCUCAAAGUGGGUGGGGUGAUUCAAAUUCGACAACAGGUUUCCUGGAACAGCUGAAGCCAACUCUACAGUGUCGGAAACCCUGAGCAGAGAUUUUACAUAACUUUGCGGUCACUGGAGUAUAAGUGUGGUGUUGGGCUGCACUGCCAGCUCUGUAAAGAAUCACAUUCAUUUAACAAUGUAAUAACUCCUUCUUAGUUUUUUAGUAUUGAUUAUCUGCCAAAAUGAGUCUUGAUCCUAAACUUGUAGAGAAGUUUAGCUAGCACUGUUGUGAAACUAAGAAACAAACUGUUUCUGCUGUGUCAACUGGUGUGCAUGAACUUUAACUCAGAGCAGCGCUGCUGUGAAUGCAACUCUUAUGAGAGAGUGUGAAAAUCAGACGACAAACAAAGAUCGUUUAUAUUGGACUUUUACUUGACUUUUUACUCUGUUUUUUUUUUUUUUUUGUCUCCUUUUUCAUUGCUACUUAUUUUACUAAUUAAAUUUUAAAAUAAGCUGACCUGGUUACCUUAAAAGUGGACUAAUCAAUCUAGUGUGCAGUGUAGCUCAGCAACAUCAUUGGAUAAAUUCCAGAGCUCAGAGAAAAGUUUUACUGCCCCAGUUAUUAAAAUUAGCUUCAGAUUUGGUUGUUUUUGAUAAGAAAAUGCCAAAUGGUAAGUAAAUUAACCCAAAAAUAUUAAGCAAAGUAAAUUGAUUUUUUAAGGAAAAACUGAUUUAGAUCUACUGAUUAUAUAUAUAUUUAUUUUUUCUUUAUGUCUGGAUGAAAUAGACUUGAACUGAGCCAUACCAGCUUAUAUUUUUACACAUUUAUGUAUUCUAAGUGUAUCAAUUAAGCCAUUUUUAUUCAUCCAUACUUAAAUUAGAUAGAUAGAUAGAUAGAUAGAUAGAUAGAUAGAUAGAUAGAUAGAUAGAUAGAUAGAUAGAUAGAUUGUUUACAUUUGAGUCUCACAGAACAUCAUUCAAUAACUUUGCCAUUUUGUUGCCAUACUUUUUAUGUCCAAUCAACACAAUAAUAAACCCUGUUGGUAGUGUAUGUUUGUGAAGCAGUGUCAACAUUUCCAAGUACAACAGGAAAGCUGACAAGUUAGAUCUCUUGUGUCCUGUAACAUGGUUAGGUUGUUUCUGCUUUCCGUGAAAUGGCCCUCGAAAAAUAUGGCCUGGUUUCUCUCUCCUGCUAAAAUACAAGAGUGAGUAGGAACAAGGCAGUCUGAAAUGAUGUUAGGGUCUACUAAAUUAAAUUUGUCAUUUUAUAUAUAUAUAUAUAUAUAUAUAUAAAUUUAAAUAGAGCUUUGUAAAUCUCUGUUGAUCUAAUCUAAGAACAAGUGGAUAUAACUAAACCAUUUAAAGAUGUCUAAAUGGUUUGUCCUUGAUCACAGACUAACUCCUGGAGAUUUGUUGAUUAAAAAAUGAUAUUUCAGAUAUUUACCAUGAGUUGAAAUAUAAGCUAGCAUACACCAUGAAUGGAAUUUCCUGCAGCCCGAGUUUGCGGUUCUGUUGUUGAGAGGUGAAGGUCAACAAAUUAAUGUGUUCACUCUCUCUGGACCACUGCAGUGCUAUGAAACAAGAGACAAAACAUACCAGCUUAGCUUUCAGUAUUACAGCGAGACCUCCAUGAAGAAAGGACGUGAAAAAGGCGAAACUGUUGUAUCUCAUAAACAAAACGUACAAAGCUGCAAAAGUGACACUGUUUUCAUAGCUUACCAGACAUCCCAUUAGCCAUGUUUGUCGAUUGUUUUGGUAUGUAAUAGGUUAACUGGGAGACGACUAGUAGUAACAAACUGAAAGGGGGCAUGUCCACCACCUACGGUAGCAGAAGCGGAAAUGCUUCAUUUCGCCCGGUACUUGUAAACCAGGGAAAGGCCAGUAAUCCAGUUAAAUUGCUCACUCAGCUAUAACCAUGAACCAGCUAAAAUGUGCAUCUAAAAAUACUGUGUGAUCUGACACUCUGAUAGUAAUCUAAUUCUUAGGUUUCAUCAUUGGCUGUGAGCCCUCUUUCAAUCAAUAAAAGAUCUCCCCUCCCACCUACAGCAUGUGUCAAACAGAAAUGCAGAGCUGAGGCAGUCACCUUCAGGUUGCUAAAGCGGUCUUGUCCCAUGAAAGAAGGUCAGUUCUCUUUGAGAUAACACAGAGAUUAUGUUACUACACAAUGAAGCAAAUAGGAAAACACUGUAAGGUCGCUUGUAGUGUUAUGGCUUCCUGUGAUGCUGCCAAACAAGAAAAAUUCUGGGUUCAAAUCCUGGCCAGAGUCCUUCCAUGUACAUUCAAAGUACUCUGAUAGCUCAUAUGUUCACUGGUGCAGCCAUGCAGUACUUGAACGUUCAGAAAACCAAAGAGGUAAGAACCUCUAGACUAGACCUUGGUGUGGUAGUGCUGGAAAUGCUGGCUCUGGGAUGUUUCGGCUACCUUUCAUCACCAUCUGGACCUUGCUUUUGAAUCACCAUAAUACACUGGAAAGAAUAUUAUCUCAAACAGGUGAUCCCAGCACCUUCAUGAGGCGAUUAGCACUAAUGCAUUAAGACAAGCAGGUGCAAAGUUUCUAAUGCCAUGGGGGCCCCAGUCCCGUGGAACUUAAGUGUUCUGGCCCUCUACUACCAUAGUCUUGGAGAUGCACUUGAAUCACCAGGAUGUAAUGAAAAGAAGUUAAACUCAAAAACAAGCGAUCACAUUGAACUUCAGUCUGGGAGCUGAAUGGCAUUAAUGGGUUUUUGUGAAGCUGGUAGUAAACUGGACCUCAUGAUAGUCAAAAGCGAUGUUGUUUAUGCUCAAAAGGAACGGAGCUGGGAAGUUUUAGGUAGUUUUAACACAUUCUGACUAUUAUUUUGGUAAUAGAUGUAACAGGUCAGCCAGGAGAUAAGCCAAUUGUAAAAAGUCAGUAAAUCAAUCCUUGCUUGAAACCUGUAGACUGCAAGGAUAGCAUUCCAGUUAAAUCACCUAAGACCUGACCAUAGAUCCACUUAUUAACCAAAUAAACUAGCCAAAUAAAAUUGAACCCAUGGUUUUACCAAGUCUUCAAGCUCUGCUUUGUUUACAUGGCCUUGAAUUCGUAGAAAGGUAUCUUUGUGAAAGUGAAAGCUGUGCCACCAACUUAUUUUGAAUCCAUCUCAUAUACAGUGGGGCCACAGCUCAUUUGGUUCAUAUAGCUAAACAAAAGCUGACUUUAACAACGUGACUCGGCUGAUUCACAUGCAAAGCAGAGGGUCUUCUUUCACAGCCAUGUGGAAGAAGGCCUGUGCAUAAUUACGGAAGAGGGGUUUCAAUAGCAUCGUAAUUGGAGGCAACGCCCCAGCUCAGAAAGGGGCCGUGGGGCUCUAAACAUGUCGAGAGCUUUAUUGCAAUGAGGUCCUUAGUCUACUACUCUUUAAAACCACAAUAGAGAAGAGCUGGAAACAAUGGUGGGUUAACAUGAUUGUGUGUGUGUUUGACUAGGCCUGGGAGCUCUCUGUUGCCUUUUCUGCUGCGCUCCUAGUGAGGGGGAAGUGAGGCGUACUGAUGACAAAAGAGACGGGUGCUUGGGAGCAUAAAGGGCCUGGUUAAUCACGGCCCUAAACUACAGGAAGUGUCUAUUCAAUGAAGCCUCAGGCAGCCAAGCAAUGAUGCAAUCUGGGCACUGAGGUGGACUGGGGUUUAGCAGCAGGAAGGUGGCAGCAGAGGAAGAAUUGAGUUAUGACAGAUUCACAAAGCAAGGGUUCUUGAGGUCUUUGUCAGGUCCAGCUGGCUUGCAAGAACUGCUGCCAUAUUUGUUUAUGCAACCUACUGGGAUAGUCAGUGUUCAACAUCCAGCCAUCUUUGUACAGCAGACAUGAAAAAAGAUCAUGUAUAACUCUGAAAUCUGACAUGGCUGGGGUUGAGAAGCAUUAAAAAAAUGCUCAGAUAUAAAUUUGGAUGAACACUUUUGCCUUCGCUGCCAUUUGAAUCCAUCUUUACACCACCACUCUUUUAUAUUUCCUCUGACUCCAAAGUCAACACAGCAGAAAUGCAUUUGUUCUGCCCUCGCCUUCACCCUUGACUUUUAAAAUAACACAUUUCGAGUUCUUUUCAUCUUUACUGAAAAAAAAACAAAACAAAUAUGGAGACAACAGAAGCCAUUUACAGCAAAUGUUUAUUACCCAGUUUGGGUGUGCACCCAUCCUGGCCAACUGCUAAACAGAUUUUCUCGGCUGAAAAACACUUUAAAAUAUCUUUCUGAUUCCGCCGAUGUGCGCCAGAAUUUGUGCAAGAGAAAAUAAUGAAUUGCCUGUGCUGCACGUACACAAAUGCAUCUCUAAUGAGUAGUGCCCUACUUGUUCAUUUCAUUACAGAGAUUUUCUAAUGCUUUCAUCUUGUGCACAUGCCUCUGUGUAUGGCUACAAACCUUGUGUGUCGCACAAGUUGUCCAUGUUUUGUACAUGUGUGUGAGCAAAGGAGGGGGGAGUUGGUAGUUUUGUACACAUCCGUAUUAUCUCCUGCUGCUCAUCCGGCUGAGAAGCUGGCCUUAAUUACUAGUGUCUGCCUGAGUCACUAGCAUGCUCCUCUACCCACACAAAUAGACAGCAACAACAGGCAGCAUCUCAAAGGAAAGGCAAGAGUGGUUUUGCUAGUAGCCGGAGGGCAACUUAUCCCUGCCAACCAGAUACAAAGGUACUGUGGGCCCACUUCCAAAUGGAUCCCUAGACUCUUUUCCCUAGGGCCUUGUUGACUUCCAAUUGCUGUGCAGGGGCUGCUGUUUGGAUGAGCUAAAUCCAUUGUUUAUUUUGCAGCCUCUUGGUUAACUGGUUUUGUUCUCGAGUCUUUUUGUAGCCUUUUAAAAUCAGCUAUAUCAAAUCAACUUUAAGCUCUGAAAUGGAGACUGGUUGGGAUUUAGGCUGCACGUUUUCUGAGAAUGUACCUCUAUCUAAUUCAGACACUGAUCAUCCCAGAGGCGUUGUGCUAUAUCUUGCCAGCCUGCUUUGAUAGAGUCUUCAUGUGUAGGCAAUUUCUUUUUCUCAGCUCGCUUUCACCGCCUGAAACUGUUGAGUCAAAUGAAAAACUUUACAUGGGAACUGACGGGGCUACAAUUAAACAUCUGGAAAGAGCAGGCACAGCCCAUCUUGGGUGGAGGGCGGGUUGAGACUAUAAAUAAAUUCCAUACAUUUUCUGUGGCCGGAGCUACCCCAGCAUGCAUAAGAAUUCCAUUUGAUGUUUCCAUAAAGUUAUAACAAGGCUUGAGUUGCAGCCAAGACAUCUUGUUGGUCUCUCACCAUUGACAAUCUUCCUCAAGCACAAUGUUUUAGUAGCUGGCAUUGGUCCGCUUACAGCUAAUAAGACCACCAUAAAAUUGCAAACCAUUGUCAGCUGUGUUGUUGAAUGAGUAUAGAAUGGCGCAAAGUCAAACAUGGUUUUCAAGAAACCAAAAUGUACGUCUCAACUCACUAGAAAUAAGUCAAAAUGCUUUUCUACUGUUGUCAUGCCCCUGCAGUGUCUGAUACUUCUGGACAAGAUAUGUUAAGUUUUAAGACUGAAAGCACUUCAAGUACAGGUGUGGUGCAUGAUUUUCAAUCAAACAUGCAGCAAAUAACCCAGUCAGAGUUAACUCAAAGACAAACUGUUACUGUAACUGUGAUGAUCUCAGUCUACAAUUAAAAUUGAAAGUAUGUUUUUACACAACUCUUUGAGCAAUGCUCUAGGACUUUUGUUGACAGAGAUACAUGUCCAACGUCAACUUUUCAACUUCCCGCCUCUGCCAGGGUCGAAGUUUUUUAAGUCUAUUCCAAACAUAUUUAGAUUAAAACACAGAUUUUGUAUAAACAUUACUGACAGUGUUGUAGUCGAGUCACCACGUCUCAAAUCUGAGUUGAGUCUCUAGUCUUCAUUGUUCAAAUCCGAGUCGAGUUCAAAGCACCAGAGAAGAAUCCAAGUUCAGUCAGAGUCAAGUUCCUAUUACAUGAGUUAAAGUCAUAAUUUAGAAGUCCUUAUUAACAUUAUUAUUUGUUAUGGGCAGCAGUAGAUCUGGAGGUAGAGCGGUCGUCAAAUAACCGGAAGGUCCCCCCUAUCCCUAGUCUGUCCGUUGUGUCCUUUGGCAAGACACUGAACCCACCUUGCUCCCAGUGUUUGCCCUCCACUGGUGUAUGAAUGUGACUGUUGUGUGGUGGUUGGAGAGUCCAUAGGCGCAAACUGGCAGCCACGUUUCUGUCAGUCUGCCCCAGGGCAGCUGUGACUACUAAGAUAGUUUACCACCACCAGGGUGUGACUGUGUGAGCCAAUGAAUGAUGUACCCAAUGUAAAGCACUUUGAGGGUCUCUGAUAAAGCGCUGUAUGAAAUCUGAUGCAUUAUGGGGAAGGAGGCUGCUUCACUCUAAAGUAUUCAUUUAUUUAUUCAUUCUGUAUGAACAUUGACUUUUGGAUGUGAAGAAAUUUCAUCUCAUUCACUGACAUAAGGCUGAUGCUUGUUUGGAGACUUAAGCUACCAAUGAAGUUACAGCACUGUGCGUCAUGUGCAAGGCCAUGCUUCCCUUAAAAAAAAUUCUCACUUUAUUGAGUGCAACCGAUAUGGAUUCAAUAAGAAAGUCUUAAUCAAGAGAUAGGUCCUUCUGUUAUUGUCUAGAGUCCUAAUAAAGUUAGCGCUGGAGUCCAAAUACAAGUCCGAGUCAUCAGUUCUCAAAUGGGACACGAGUCUGAGUCCUGAACUGAUACAAAAAUUACUGAUAAAGCUGCAAGUACUGUGAAAGAUUUGUAGGGGGUGCUCCUGAGUCAAUCUGAAACAUCCCAUUGUCCCAUCCAAAUGUAAGUUCCCUCAAUUUCUUUAGUGCAUUUAUGUGCAUCUGUAAAGUUCAUGAGUUUUGAAGCAUGUUUAGGUUACUGAAAAUCCAAAGAUUCUCACAAAAGUGCUCCUUUUUGCUGUCUGUCUUUUGAACACAUACAGUAAAAGAGAGUGUUUUAUAGCCAAACCCAUCUGGUCCUCUCCAAAACAAAGCUUUGACAUCAACCAGAUAGUUUUUAAGCCAUUCUCUGCAAACCCCGCUAAAAAGAGAGCAAAGCAGACACUUCUGAGCAGAUGAUUCACAAGAGACACAGAGCCAAAGUGCAGCGAUAGUUCAGCAGGCACGGAGUAAGAAAAUGGGACACUGAAGUUUUUCAGAUAAGAAAUGAGAUUCUGAACACGAAAUAGCAUUACCACCGCCACCGUUCUGCAAGCCCAGCAUCCAGAGCCACUGAUGCCGUGUUAUUACUGCACAGGAUGAAGUUCGUUCAGUCAGUCACCCGGUGUGAAGCGGCGGCUGACUUUGCUCGCCCGGCCGCUCCUCUGCUACUCUCUCACUGCAUUAACAGCGGGGAGUAGACUCCCAAAGCCUGGAAAAGACACACUCCAUUAAGUCUCCAGAAGGACCCAGACGUUGCUCAGAUACAUGACAAUGAACAGAAUAUAAAUUUAGAAAAAAACAGCACAGAGGAAACACUCAACACUGUCUUUUUCAUGAAGUCCUGGUGUACAGUGGUGUUAAUAUGCAGGAAAAACCUAAAAUAACAACGUUUCUGCAUUAUUGCACCAAGUUUUCAAGAAUUUCACAGCUUUUACUUUGAAUGACGUAUCAACAACAUGCUAUAAUUGAUCUUGCGUGUUUUAACUGAAUGCUAGACACCCCAAAAAGAGUAAUAUUUUCAUCUACAAUGAUCCGGGUAUGAGGAAACACAAAGACAUUUAAUACAACAUCAGCACAGAGGACUGGAUCGCCUAUUUUUGGCUUCUUAGAGAGCAGAGAUGAGAUUUAUCCUCUAAUUCUGACUGAAGGCUUGGCGUCACCCUUCUCUGUGGAUAAUUGCAUUAUUGUGGUCCGUGUGCUUUCAAGUGUUAGUUGUGUUCUCCUUAAACAUUAAAUAAAAUAUAUUUAUUCUCUCUGUCACAUCAGAGGUCUGUGAUGUGGAAGAGGCAGGCCUUGAUGUUGAUAUUCUUUAAGUGUAUUGCUAUAAUAGGAGAAUCUUAUCUGGCAAUGUAAAUUCCUAAUGCAUUCAUUGCCCCUCUACUUCACAUGAAAACCCUUUCUGUAGCAUGUUAUGAACUCAUACUGUUGCUGCAGCAUCUUCAUAAUGACCAGAGUUGUGCGGUUAUUGAUUUGAGCUAUUUUGCAGGAGGGACAGAGGCAGAAUCAACCUCUUCCCCGUCACAUGCAAUGCAUCAAAAUAAUUGGCAGUGCCCAAUUAUCCUGUGAUCCGUGUACAGGAGCUCUGAUGAGCUGCCUGAGAACGAAUCAGUAAUCAGGAAGCCUCGGGUAUGAAUCACAGAUGUGACACUGGCAGGUCAAAACGUUUGGAUAAAAAUAGGGCAGUGCUACUGGCAGGAUGGCAUAUAAAUAUGGCAGUUGUUUUCAAACUCUUGUAAAAAUGCCACAUUGGAAUUCAACGCUUAAAGAUAAUUCGGCGACAACAAGUGUAAGCUUGCGUGACUUAAUCAACCCCGAGUGCAGCAGGCAGUCACUUAACAGUCAAUUACAACUGGGACCACAGAGAUCUGAGACGAGUAACUUUAACACACUACAGUCACGUCAACACAGCAGUGAGAAUAAACCAGAUGGCAAAGACUGGAUAUCACCCAGACUUUGGAGACACUGAAGUGUAACAAAGCUUUGGACAACUGACCUGCUGCAGUGAGAGUUUUUUCUUAUUUUCUUCGUUCACUCCCCUUGAAUGAAUUAUUCUUACUCACUUUAUAUUAGGAUGAAGUGUAAUGUGGAGAGCAAAGCUGGUUGUCGCCCAUUAUUUGAAGAUGCUUGCAAACGUUUGCUUUUCAAGGGCUGUUGCAUGGUGGAUGUACUACUGUACGACUGUACUACUGUUAAAGGUAUAUUCCCACAUAAAAUCAAUUUUAGGGUCAAACACACCGUAACACUGAGUUAGACACCCCCUUGAGAGAUGAAUGUUGCCGACCGCUUGCUUCUCUAGUUAUACUAACUUAGCAACAUUACUUUAUCCUUUCCUUGAAGUAAUAAUCUCCAUAUCAAUCAUUUUGCACGGCAGUUCUUCUGCCUUAGCGUCUCAUUCUGAUUGCAUUUCAAUGAAGAAAUGAUCAUAAAUGUUCUUCCUUGAGCUGCACCACCCCGCUGUAGUCUGUAAUGGACUGGCCCAAGGUCUCGCUACAAACAAGCGGCUGCUGGAAGAGAGUAGGUGAGUUGUGUUUAGUCUCUUUGCUAAAGACGUUAGGCAAAGCUAAAAAGAUGUUUGGUGGCUAGUACUGUGGCUGGGACUCUAUAUGUUCAACCCUGUUGAUGAAGUUAGGUGCUGUUCUGAGCAUUAUUUGUGGCUAUAGAGUGGCCUUUUGGUUGAGGUUUGUUUAUGGCUCCUCAGACAGCUGUGUAUUACUAUCCUGCGGUCAUUACUAAAGUUGGUAUAACUAGAGAAGCAAGCGGUCGGCAAUAAUCAUCUCUCGAGGGGGUGUCUAACUCGGUGUUACGGUGUGUUUGACCCUAAAUUAACUUUAUGCCUGAAUAUGUCCGGUUUCCAAUUUGUAUAGCCACCAAUUCAUCAGACACUAUCUCUACUUCAUUUCUCCAGUAAAGUUUGUUUUUCAAAUUCUACAGUUUUAUUAAUAUUUACAGGGAACAUAUUCAUGGUUUGAGUUUGUGAGUUGAAGUUCAAAUCACUGACCAUAUCAGUUUGUGAUGCCUGAAACCUUUUUAUCUUCCCUGCACUAUUCCAGUGAUGGACGGUCAUAAAAAUUGUCAUAAAGAAAAGGACUUCUGAAGUCGUAGCCUGUGAUGACAUAAAACAUCAAGAAAAAUGUUCAAACACUUCAUGGGGGAAGGACACGCUGAUAGGUCAAGCUUGAGACAAAGCACUGAGAAGAAAUGCCUCCCAACCGUUAAAUGUCGUUGCUGUCAAUCAGUGAGAGAACGAGAUUUAAGCUGGCACUGUCCAUGUCACAAGGUGGAUUCUGUCUGUGUGGACUUUUCAUCAGUGACAGACUAUACGGUUCAAAAGACAAUCGCUCAAAUUGUUUUUGGUCUGGAUAUGACAAACUCAAUAUUUCAGACGCUGCUGAUGGAAUCAUUGCAGUUUGAUCUGUCUUUUUGUAUAUGAGACGUCAGCAUGAUGAUGGUCCCCUGACUGACUUCCAGGUGUUGGAGCAGGUGUGAGGCUCUUAAAUCAACUGAAUCUGAGGAAGAGAAAUAAACAUGUAACCUCGUUGUUACCGAAAAGCUUGUAUACCAAUUAGACCACGAUGACAUCCUGACAUGUUUUCAUCACAUCAGCCAAUUAGCAUUUGCAAAUUAUUCUUAGUGAAUGCACUGACCUACUUGGAGGACUGCAAGGGUGGAGUUUUUGCAUCAAUAUAAUCUGACGCAGUUUGUUUGCAGGAUCAGAAAAUGGUCACAGAAUUUAAAAAGAAGUCUUGAAUUGUGACAAAAAUGGUUGAGAACUAAAUAAAGAUGAAGAAAAAAGCCUUGAAGAUUAAAAGUUUAAACUUGUAUUACUUGCAUUAAUCUGUCGUUUGAUUUAAGAUAAAGAGAAAAUAACCUCUGUCCUCUUCAAACAGGCUGGCUGAGAGAUUCCCAGAGUUGAAAAGCAGGGCAGGAUGUAUGGGAAAUAAAAUGAACCAGAUCUGAGCUGUACAAAUUAGCUUCAUACUUUUCAGUGUGUAAAGCAAAGAUAUUUGCUUUAUGGCGCAUGUAAACUGUCUCCAAAGGGACCACAGUCAUGUUCAUAAAUUUCUUCACUCAGUUGGUUUAUCAGGAAAUCUUUAUUCAACUUCAGCCUUAGACACAUAAGUAAAUAUUGGAGAAUCAUGACUGAUCUAUCUUUUUUGAAGGUGUUUCCUCAGUCGGAGUGAAAGAAAACACUGUAAUUUAGAAUUCUUGCUGCUUAUUUUCCAUCAUAACCAGCAGACUCUCCUUUCUUUUCAAGAAAUAAUUUAUGCCCUGUGCUCCCUCAGCUCACCCUUCUCUCCUCAUUCUCCUUUGCCACUUUCUUCAGCAUUUGACCACACCUAUCUACCUUCAUUUACCAUUCAUUUAUUAUAUAACCCAAUACUUUCCUAGGAUAUAUUAACCUUACAGAAGCGCUGAUGUUAUUUAAUCUGUCGUCUGGCUGAGGAGCGGUUGUUAUUUAAUGCUGGAGAAUGACAAAUAAAGCUCAUUCCAGCAAAGCGAUCCUGCAAAGUUGCUCUUUAAGGCUCUGAAACCAAAACCAUAAAACAAUGCAAUGCAUACAAAUAAAUAUUAGGAUCGCCACUGCCUGACCCCGAGUCUCCAAACAUUGAAUUUUCUUCCUGCGCAUUAUAAAAACCCAUCUAAGAUAAAUGACAAAGUCAGAGCUGCAGCGCCAGGGAGGCAGAGGCUACAUCGGCUUAUGCUUGAGCGAGCAUGUAGGCCAUACGCCAUGGAUGCACCACACACCCUGAGGUGAGUGGAGCCGAGCGUUUUUUUUUAUUUUUUUAUAUACACGUCAAGCAAGCUUCACUGCAUCCUUGUGACACAACCCCUGCCUCAGAGAGGAGUCAGCCCUGUGCUGAAUAAAACAGGCCUGAUAUCAGCACGGAAUAUGGUAAAAUAUUGAGGAUAAGGGUAAACUGGGAGGUGAAGGUCCGCUGAUGUGAUCGUAUUUCAACACAUUUACAAACUUUAUAAGGUGUGGCAUGAGAAAGCUGUAACAUGAAACAUGUAAGGAUCGCAUUAUUUUAUUUUUACUUCAUAAAUUCCCAAAUAAUGCCAGUGAAAUACUCAAGGACAUGAUGAUUGUGAGAGCGACAUAGUCCCAAAGGUUUCUACAAUAGUAAACCAUUAUAAGAGAAGGAGAAAUACGGUAUAAAAAUGCCCAAAUGUAAAACAUAGAUGGAUCUGAUUUAUGUAAGCUCCCAAUGAAAUAAUGGAAUGCUGAAAUAAGAAAAAAAAAUAUGAAUUUGGUUUUUUUUUUAGGAAUCAGAGACACAAUUGAUCAACUUGGUCAGCUACCACUUGUGCUGAUUUGACACAUGCACUCCUGGAAAUCGGAAGAUUUAAACCCCUGAAAUUUACAAAGUUGCUUGUUUACACAUGUCGCUCACAGCACGAAGUCUCCCCUGUAGGAUAAAUCCCUGGAAGCAAAGCAUGCUGCAAAGCCACAGUGUAAUGUGUACAACAUGGUGGCAAAGGAAGCAUCAGAGACGCUAUCAUGAUAUCAGCACAAUAGGCUGACAGAUUGAUGUGAAGACAUCUGUUGUUCUGGUCUUGGAAAUAAUUAUCCCUCUUCAACUUUUUUUUUCUUUUUUUACUCUUCUUGGUUUUCCUCAGUCACAUGAAAUAACCAUCAUCACCCGGUUAUAUUUCAAGCUCCUUCUCAUAUCUAUUGACCCUCACUCUGGAAAUUUCACAAGAGGACGAGCAGGGCAAGGUCCCGAAAAUGUUAGGGUGAAAAUUUUUGAGUUUUGUGUGCGUGUGUGUAAACACAGCUUUAGACUUUACAUUAGCUCACCAGCUUUUGUUUUUCAAGCCGAACACGAACUUUGAAAAACCGUGUAAGUCAUACCCCAGAUGGGGGCUUGUAAAGAGAUAUUUCACUCAAAAAUAACUGGAUGAUGCUUGCGAUGUGACAUCCUUCAGUUAGUAAGACAUCAUAGAGGUUUUUCCGUCCCACCAGCAGGGAAAAGUUCAAUCUUAAAAGUCAGAUGAAGACAAUUCUUUCUUUUUUUAAACUGGGGGGAAAAUCGCUGUAGAAUCAUGAUAUUCAGAUUCACGUACAUAAGGUUGUGGGAGAGUCAAAUUUGAGUUCAACUUGUGGCCUUUUACUCUGAAAAAAAAAAUUGUUUUUAACUUUAUUUAUAGUAAUUUUUUAGAAAUAGAGUUACACACAUUAACACCAGUAGAGUGAUCAUGACAUCCAAGAACUCCCAUCAUCAACCCCAAUCCCCUUCAGCAGGCAAACAUUAGGGUUUGCAAAGAGCACAAUAGAAUCUUACAAUAGUAAAAAAAAAAACAAGGUCAAUCUUACUCAGGCUGUUGCAGUAUCAACACCAUAUCUAAGAAAAAAAGAAAUGACAUCGCUCAUCUCUACUUUUUGUUAUCAUCAAGUUUGCAGUUUUCAUAUUUAGAACAGCCAAACACCUCAAGAUGGCACAAGCUUUUAACAUGUAAAAAAUAAUGACUGAGUCUUAUUGAACAUUUUUACUGACCUCUCGUUUAGAGUAACUCAUUGUUUCCAAAGCAACUGCAUUUCUGCAAGUAUAAGAGCUUCCACUCUCCCCCUACCACUCCAAAAAUUGCAGUAAGAGGUCAGGAUUUAUUGUUUUUCCACUUAUUGCUCAGAGAGAACUAAAAACUAAUAUCCACAAAUUGGCCAAAGAUAGACAUGACCAGGGGACACUGGAGAAUACUGACUUCUGGGGCACACUGGCUUAAUGUUAGGGUAAAGCUUUGCCAAUUUAUCAUUUGAAUUAUGAAGCCUGGACUACUUUAGACGAAAUAACUCAAUGUCGAACACAGAAAGAUGAAGUAUUUAUAUGUAAAAUAAUGUCCUGCCAAGUUUUUUUUAAUGGAUUUCUUGAUAUCUAUCUCCCAAGAAGCUUUAGUUUUGUCCAGUGAGUGGGGGAAUCUUGUUCUGGAUCAUGUUGUAUAUUUUAGAGACCAAAUCCUCUCUGAAGGGAUUUAUGUUAAGAACUAAAAACGUUAGAUCUUCUGGAGGAUGAUUGGAGUAGCGUGUAAAGUCACUUGAAGCAAAGCCGCGCACCUGGAGGUAUCUAAAAUAAUGAGAUGAAGGAAGUCUUUUAAGAAGUAAUACGACAAUGAGCUGAGUGGGCUGUAAUAUGGCUUGUUAGAUGACAGACAGAAAGAGGAUUUUCAAGAGUUUGGAGUACCACAAAUAUAUCAAGGCAGGCAGAUAGAGGUAUCUUCAUCGAUGCUGGACCUAUUGAGACAACAAUGGCAGUGAACAUGGAGAUAAGGUUUAUUCUGUUGCUAGGUGAUUUGAGCAAUCACGUCUUCUGAUGUGAACAGUCAAGCCAAUUCUGUUUCCUCAUUAGAAAUCUGCAGAGAGAUUAGAUGGGAAAUUUGAAUAUGAAGAAGGAUAACUUGGCUAAUUAUAACCCCUCAUCUCGCUCUAAAUGACAGUCAGUGGUGUGAAAAAACAGUUGGAUGAAAACAGGUGAGAGGAGAGAGGGUAAAGGAGAGGAGAAAGGAAGAAAGAAGUGAGGGGGAGGAGUCAAGAGAUCAAUCCCUUGUUUAGGAUUACGAGUGCUCAGAUAACAUCCUGCACCUCACCCACUGCUUUCUUCCAGGGCGAGUGAUUCGAGGCUGCAUAGAGCGAUAGCCUUACACACCUACAUUGACACACAUGCACGCACAUAUCCCCACACCAGAGCACCUUCACUCAACCCCGCAACCCCCAUCCGCAUAACGCCAUUGGCCAAGUUUACACCUAGCUGUGCCGCCACGCUCUCCAAAUGCGAUUAGCGCUUAUCUGAAAGAGGACCAAACUACCUUCAUCAUCGAGGUUCAUCAUCGUCGUCACAUCCAUAUUCAUGAUGCUCAAAUCCCCUCCGGAGUAAAACUAAGGGGAUUCAAGCACCUGAGAACACGGGGCGCCAAGCGGAGGGGGAGGAUUGUAGAUUUCUCUAUUGAGGUCACAGCGCCGUAUAAAAGAAGCAUUUGAAGAGUUUUGUACCACAAAGAGCUACACUCCGAGGCAAGAAAGUGACAACUCUUCUCAAAAAGAGAUUCAUUGCUCAUAAUGAGUGAAAAUUACGGCUCUCUUUGGCUGACAGGAGGAAAUGUAAGACUGUACUUUCAGAAAAUAAUAAUCGCUAUGCAUACUUUUGAAAUUUCUAACAAUAUAGGGAUUAAAUGACUUUCUAAAAAAGCCUGCAUAGCUUUUUUUGGCAGUAACUAGUGGUACUUAUUUCAUGACGGACACACAUUUAACUCGAAUAUUACACACAGCAUUGCUAGUUAGCUACAAACACAACUAGUCUAUAAUGGCACGGGUGUUUCUUAUCAUUAACAACCACAGUUAGCUGGUGAGAUCCUGGAGCUUGGAAUAAAUUGGGUCAUCAAGUGCAGUUAAUUCAUCAAUAAUGUCAUGAAUUAUUAUGGCUUUUGUGUCCCUGGAAAACCUUACGCUGUCCUCAAAUACCUGUUGCAACUUCACUAUGGCACUGACUAUUUUCUUGGUGCUGCUACUGCCGCUUCACAUUUUCUCCAAUUCAUCUUCAUUGAGAUGAAAACUUUCCAGGUGAUGUAAAAGACUUAGGAUUAAAACUUUGGGACUUUCAGAACAAAUUUUGCAAAUUCACGACACUUUCAACUCCCACUGAGAGUUGAAGAAAAUCUGAACUCAAGCAAAAGUAUUCACACGGUAAAAGUGGGGUGACCAUAUUCUGAAUACCCAAAAAGAGGACACAACUACAUGGGAACGGAGUCGCGGAGUCACAGAGUUGCGUGUAGUAAAUUUUAAGUUUUUCAGGUCGAUCUAGUGUUUUUUACACCCUUCUAACUCAGUGGGCUCUAUUUUCGUGUCCGCGGGUGAGGCGGCGGAGGAUGGUGGACCACUGAUCUAUAUCUGAUCUGAUGAGCGCGUUUGGACACACAACCUGACCGAAUCAACACAGCUGAAACGGCAUUAAAUUAAAUCAAAUAUCUAGUAAAUAGACACACAUGAUGAAGUGAACAAGAUAUGUAAUUUGUCUCCCUCCUUUUCUUUCUUCCUCUUUCUCUUAUUUCUCGCACAGCUCGACCUGGACACGUCUCCGUGUCCUCUCCCCGUCCUGCUGCUGCAGCGGCUGAACAGAUGAUUUGUUUCAGUGAUCAGAUGAGUUAUUUACUUUAAGCCUACAUACGAAUAUUAUAAUAUUCAGUUUUGCAAGCCUAAUUUAUUUUAUAUGUCAACAUCUAUGGAACACCUUGUCGGUGCGGCAGAACUGACUUACGCCGCGCCUGCGCCAGGUCUCCGGCGAAGCACGAAAAUAGAGCCCAGUAAGUCCACACCACACAAACUCAAAACUUACUUACAAAACCCCAGAUAUUUGAAGGAUUUUAUAAACUCCCCCGGACAAGGCCGAACAGGCCGGACAGCCCCCCAAAAAGAGGACAUGUCCGGUUCAAAGAGGACGUAUGGUCAGCCUUGUAAAAGCCAAUCAGUGUUCAGAUUACUUAGCAAGAUUAAUUUAUGAGGAAAAUGGAGGACCGACUGAUUGUGACGGUAUGUAGAUACCGGGGCUAUAGGAAACAAUAUGUUCUUAAUAUGAGGAAUAAAAAGAGGAAGACAGUCAGUGAAGAGGUCAGAUUAUAUGGUAAGUAGUAAAAAUGCAAUAGAUCCUUAAAAUGUGGUCAACCUCAGCUCUGUUUGAUGUAAACAGACUGACAGGAAUCCUUCUUUCCUCGUGUUUGUGCACUCCCACAUACGAGCGAAUAUAGUGAGUCAUUUGAGUAAAUUAAGCGAGUAAACAGCCAACACUAAGGCGUCCAAAUACACAUGAAUUAUGCAAGUUAACAUUUCUUUCUUUUUUUGUUUGUUUUUGGUGUGAACAUGAUAUAGAACUACUGAAACACAUGGGCAACAAACAUGGAGGGAAAUGACUGGACUGCUGAAGUACAAAACCGAAGAUGAAGCACUGAAGUGAGGGAACACUGUGCUUAAAUUCACCAGAGGAGUGAAGAUAAGAAGACACAGGUGAGACACAUUGGAGUAAUCAGAGGAGCAG